GCACUCUCUUAGGUGUUGAUGU
rnacentral:siRNA from 1 species